UUUGUUUUGAUUUGUAUUCCUCUGAUGGUUAGUGAUGUAGGGCAUUUGUCAUAUGUUUGCUGGCUGCUUUUAAGUCUUCCUUUGAGAACUGUCUCUCCAUGUCCUCUGCUCACUUUUGAGUUCGUUUUUUCACUUUUGAAUUGUUUAAAUUCCUUAUGGCUUCUGGAUAUUCAACUUCUGUCAGAUGCAUAAUCUGUGAAUAUCUCCUCCCAUUCUGUAGGUUAUCUGUUUACUUUGUUGAUAAUUGCUUUUGCUUUUGGAG